GAGAUUCGCAAUGUGUUGGAUCUAAUGCGCAGGGGAGAGAGCUUAAGAUUUGAGGACGUUAUGAUCCUCGAUCAGUCAGGGUUCUUUGGGAUGGUGGAUAUUCAGGAUCGCCAUCGUGAUAUGCGUCUUGAUGUUGAUAACAUGUCCUAUGAGGAACUACUGGCGCUUGAGGAGCGCAUAGGGAAUGUCUGCACCGGGCUAACUGAAGAAACCAUUUUGAAUCGUCUGAAGCAACGGAAACAUGUUAGCAUUAGAACAGAAGAAACCAAUGAUGCUGAGCCAUGCUGUAUUUGUCAGGAAGAAUACAAGGAUGGUGAGGAUCUUGGGAAGCUGGAUUGUGGCCAUGAUUUUCAUGCCGACUGCGUUAAACAAUGGCUCAUGCAGAAGAAUUUGUGCCCAAUUUGCAAAACAACAGGACUCAAUACUUCAGGAAAACAUUGAUCCAUGGAAGUUUGAUGUACCAGUUGGACCAUGGAAGGUUGACACAAAGCGUGUCUACGCGUUUGGUCCAUGAGUUCAUUCUGAGUGAGAAAGAUCUAUGUAUUUUUCUCAUUAAUUUUAUUCUGACCUCUGCUUAGAGGGAGUUAUUUUAGAGAUAGAAGAAGCACUAGCUACAAUUAGGGUCAUUAGGCAAGAGUUAUACAUUAUUUGGUU
rnacentral:misc_RNA from 1 species